CGUAAGCAACCUGCCUAUCAGAGGGGAACAACAGUUCGAAAUGACUGCUAAUACCGCAUAUGCCUAAGUACCACAUGGUACAAUAGGGAAAGGAGCAAUCCGCUGAUAGAUGGGCUUGCGUCUGAUUAGAUAGUUGGUGGGGUAAAGGCCUACCAAGUCGACGAUCAGUAGCCGGACUGAGAGGUUGAACGGCCACAUUGGGACUGAGAUACGGCCCAGACUCCUACGGGAGGCAGCAGUCGGGAAUAUUGCGCAAUGGAGGAAACUCUGACGCAGUGACGCCGCGUGCAGGAAGAAGGUUUUCGGAUUGUAAACUGCUUUAGACAGGGAAGAAAUAAGACAGUACCUGUAGAAUAAGCUCCGGUUAACUACGUGCCAGCAGCCGCGGUAAUACGUAGGGAGCGAGCGUUAUCCGGAUUUAUUGGGUGUAAAGGGUGCGUAGACGGGAAGAUAAGUUAGUUGUGAAAUCCCUCGGCUUAACUGAGGAACUGCAACUAAAACUGUUUUUCUUGAGUACUGGAGAGGAAAGUGGAAUUCCUAGUGUAGCGGUGAAAUGCGUAGAUAUUAGGAGGAACACCAGUGGCGAAGGCGACUUUCUGGACAGAAACUGACGUUGAGGCACGAAAGUGU
rnacentral:rRNA from 1 species